rnacentral:rRNA from 1 species
UACGGAGGGAGCUAGCGUUAUUCGGAAUUACUGGGCGUAAAGCGCACGUAGGCGGCUUUGCAAGUUAGAGGUGAAAGCCUGGAGCUCAACUCCAGAACUGCCUUUAAAACUGCAUCGCUUGAAUCCAGGAGAGGUGAGUGGAAUUCCGAGUGUAGAGGUGAAAUUCGUAGAUAUUCGGAAGAAACACCAGUGGCGAAGGCGGCUCACUGGACUGGUAUUGACGCUGAGGUGCGGAAAGCGUGGGGAGCAAACAGG